GAUUCUAGCUCCUGGUUGGAAAAUGGACUUUACUCAACUAAAAACAGUGUACUUGGAUAAAGUCAUUGGGGUGAUUGAGACUGGUAUAUGACUUAGGAUUUCCUAGUUUAGUAAUGCAUGUCUUCAAAUGGACAUCUGAUUUGUUCAUGCUUUAAGUUUAUGCUCUAUAACUAAAUAAUAACAAUAAAUGUCUCCAGACUUAUUAAGAUUACUGUUGUGGGCCUUUAAGAAUCUGUAUGUUCAUUUUUGACUUGGUAUUUAUUACAUGUUUUUGUAAGGGGCCACAAGUAGAUACAAAUCUGCCUUAAAGGAAGUUACAGCUUAAUAAAAGAAAGAGGCCAUGCUUUUUGGUUACUGUAACACAAGGUAGUACAUGCUAACCAUCAGAAGAAAGCUACAAACUCACUGAGAGAUGGCUUACAGCUGAAAGGAGUCAGGAGCAGCACCUUGGGAAAUAAGGUAGCCUUGACCUAAGCCUUCAAGAUUUUAUGGGAAUGAAGCCAGGCUCUGAUGGUGUAUGCCUUUACACCAGCACUGGUCUACAGAAUGAGUUCCAGGAUAGCCAGGGAUACAGAUACAGGAGAAAUCCUGUCUUGAAAAAACAUAUUAAAAAAAAGAUUGACUAGGAAUAGUUUUGGAAAGAGUAUUUUUUUCCAGUUAUGCUCUUUCCUUGAUCCUUCCCUCAAAUAUUUUCUUUUUGUUCACGUGCAGGCACUUUAGUGAGUUUCUGCGAAGUCACCAUUUCUGUAAAUACCAGAUUGAAGUGCUGACCAGUGGGACUGUUUACCUGGCUGAUAUCCUCUUCUGUGAGUCAGCCCUCUUUUAUUUUUCUGAGGUAAAUUCUGCGUUUUCUUUUAUAUUCUGCUAGAGCAUUCCAGCUCCAUGCUGGGACCCUGUCCGAAGAAAAUGACAUAAAAGAGAUAACUCAUUCGCAAAAUGAUUGUUUUAGGUUGUACUUAAUGGCACGAGUAUGUCAAUGGCAUAUUUAUCAGAUUAAAGAGGAAACUCAUAAAAUAACCCUAAUUUUUAGAAAGUACUUUAGCUACACUAUAAGAAAAUACAAUAUAAGAGAUAGUUUGAACUGUUUUAAAGCCAUAAAAUUGAAGGCUGGGAUGUAGCUCAGUUGGCAGAAUAUUUGCCUAGUGUGCACGAAGCUCUGAGUUCAGUCCCUGUCACUAUGUGAAACUGGGCAUGGUGGUGCAAACCUGUAAUUCCAGCAUUAUUGAGGUGGAGACAAGAGGAUCAAAAAUUUAAGGUUAUCCAUUCUUUGCUACAUAAUGACUUUGAGGACAACCUGGACUACCUCAAAAAUAAAUAGGAGCUGGGGAGACGGCUCAGUAACCAAGUGUGUGCUGCACCAGCGUGAGGACCUGAGUUCAGAUCCAGGGAAUCCAUGGGGGAUGUUGGCAUGGCCACACCCGUCAGUUUGCUCGGUAUUGGGAAGUGGACAGGCUCUUUGGAGCCUUGACAAAUUAUCUAGACAGUUCACCACUGAGCUUCACGCUUAGUAAGAGACCAUGUGUCAAAAAAUAAGAUAGAGUGCAAGAGGGAGCUGGUGAGAUGGCUCAGUGGUUAAGAGUACUGACUGCUCUUCCGAAGGUCCUGAGUUCAAAUCCCAGCAACCACAUGGUGGCUCACAACCAUCCGUAACGAAAUCUGAUGCCCUCUUCUAGAGUUUCUGAAGACAGCUACAGUGUACUUACAAUAAAUAAAUAAAUCAAUCAAUCAAUCAAUCAAUCAAUCAAUCUUUAAAAAAAAUAGAGUUCAAUAAAGGCUCACAUCUGCUAUCAGUCUCUGGCCUUACUAUGUUCAAGGGUGAACAUACUGCAUGCACUUCAUAUACACGCUAAAUAAAAGCAAGUAAAUCAAGCUAUAGAAUUGGCUACUUCAUUCCAUUGCAGUAAUUAUAGACCUGAUUUCAGAGGAAAGAAAGAAAAGUUUCAUUUUCCCACUUUUUUAAAAUUUUAGCUAGUUGUUAGAAUUUUUCAGUAUAAUAUUUGAAGCAAACUGAAUCUGUUAAUCUCUUUGAGACAUACAUGAUAUUUUCCAACAAUUAUUCAUUUUAUUAAAGUCUUUUAAAAAAAGUUUUUAUUGCCACAAAUAAAACACACAUAAUAAUGAGCUUCAUUAUGACAGAUUCAUAGAUUAUAAUGUAUUUUGAUUAUAUUCACACAAAUACCUUGUUAUUUAUCCUUCUCCUAAUUCCCUUCAUUUCUCAACUGGCCCUUCCUUCCUUCCUUCCUUCCUUCCUUUUUUUUUUUUUUUUGGUGAAUGUGUGUCUGUCCCCCAGUGAGUUUCAUUAGGAUUGUUUACAAAAGCAUGGCCACCUUACCAUCAACUUAGCAGUGAAGAAGGUGUCUCUCCCUCCCCCAUCCAUCAUUAACUUUGUGUAAAGCUUUAAAGAGUUACAUAGCCCUAUGAACCUUCCCCUUCCACAAGGUUGUUGAUGGGCCCAGUUUGUGGAGAUCUUUGCAGGUAGUCACAGCUGCUGUGAGUUCAGUAGGGGAACAGCCACGGUGUUGUACAUCACUCAUCUCCUUCCAGCUCUUAAAUUCCUAAUUCUUUCUGAUUCUUCCUCCAUGAUAUUCCUUGAGCCGUGGAGUAGUGAUACAGAUGUCCCAUUUAUAGUUGCACAUUCAGUAGUUAUUUAUGGGAUCUCUGCAGUCACCAGUAAUCACUGCAAAAAGACAUGGUAUUGUAUAUCUUUAAUCCUAGCACUGGAGAGGCAGAGGCAGGAAGAUCUCUGUGAGUUCAAAGAUAGCCUGAUGUACAAAUAAUGAGUUCUAGGCCAACCAAAGCUACACAAAGAGACUUUCAAAAAAACCC
rnacentral:lncRNA from 1 species